GGGUUUAUGCUUUCUCUUGGAUCCUAAUCGUUGGUGCCAUGAUAAUAUUCAAGGUUCUAUCAAUGGGGAGGCAGAAGCUGAGCGCCAAUUUUCAGAUGGCUUUCCGGCUACUUAAACUAGCGGUGUUUAUCGCGUUGGUAGUGGCACUUAUCCUGGCCAUAAAGUUCCUCGGGCUAACGGUGGGAGAUAUAUUUGCCAGUUUAUUAGCCUUCUUGCCAACUGGAUGGGCCCUUCUGCUGAUAGCGCAAGCCAACGGUGAAGAAGCUUAAGUUGUAUUCGCUCCCGUCGCCAUCUUGGCGUGGUUCCCCUUCGUGAUCGAAUUCCAAAUACGCCUGCUCUUCAACCAGGCCUUCAGCAGAGGUCUCCAGAUCCAAAUGCUAUUAUCCAAGUGAGCGGCAGGGGGAGGAACAGCCUUGCAUGGAAUUCUUUUAGAUAUACAUUCAUACUUUUUCUUUCCAAUCUCAAUAAAUACUCAUAUUUUUUCUUCUUUGUACCCUACCCAUUUUGUAUUACCGAAAUCAGGGAACAAGGGAAUAAAAGCCAUGGAGGAAUCAACUCCACUUUAGUA